rnacentral:lncRNA from 1 species
CAGGGCAAUGGGAACCAAGGGAGAAAAUGGAGGGAAAACUUUAAUUCAAGUGCAGAGUCCAGCAAACCAGGAGCAUUUUUGGAACCACAGAAAGUGAGAAGCUGAGGCUCAGGAAGGCUAUGGGACUUGCCUGAAGCCACACAGCAGGAAGCAGAAUAGCUGAGAUCCACCUCCAAGUCUGCUGGACUCCAAAAUCUGUGCUUUCUCUCUGCUAGGCAAGAACCGUGGCUUCCUUCCUCUUAGGGGAAGGGCUGCAACACAGCCAGGCCGCUGACUGAAAUCUUCUCAUCCCAGGGGAUGCGGUGGCCACUCUCCCCAUCCUCUCCGUCCUGUGUGCGAUUCACCUGCCUAUGACUGGGGCAAGGCCUAGAUUUGUGGGAAAGGAUCCCGGCGCUGGGAUCAUGAUGAACGGCAACCUCCCUGCAGCAGCCCCCUCCCCCAACAACACACGCA